UGGCUCCUGGUGUAGUGGUCGCACGACUGGCUCUGAACCAGUCAGACGCCGUUCGAUUCGGCGGGAGCCUGC
rnacentral:tRNA from 1 species